rnacentral:rRNA from 1 species
UACGAAUGGAGCUAGCGUUGUUCGGAAUUACUGGGCGUAAAGGGCGCGUAGGCGGCUUCGAUAGUCAGGCGUGAAAUCCCCAGGCUCAACCUGGGAAUUGCGCUUGAUACUGCGAGGCUUGAGUGAGGAGAGGAUAGUGGAAUUCCCAGUGUAGAGGUGAAAGUUCGUAGAUAUUGGGAAGAACACCAGUGGCGAAGGCGGCUAUCUGGACCUCAACUGACGCGUGAGGCGCGAAAGCGU